GCCGCCUUAGCUCAGACGGCUAGAGCGUCUCACUCGUAAUGAGAAGGUCAAGGGUUCGAUUCCCUUAGGCGGCU
rnacentral:tRNA from 1 species